rnacentral:rRNA from 1 species
GACGAACGCUGGCGGCGUGCUUAACACAUGCAAGUCGAACGGAAAGGCCCUGCUUUUGUGGGGUUCUCGAGUGGCGAACGGGUGAGUAACACGUGAGUAACCUGCCCUUUACUUUGGGAUAACUUCAGGAAACUGGGGCUAAUACCGGAUAUGAGCUCCUGCUGCAGGGUGGGGUUUGGAAAGUUUCGGCGGUUUGGGAUGGACUCGCGGCUUAUCAGCUUGUUGGUGGGGUAGUGACUUACCAAGGCUUUGACGGGUAGCCGGACUGAGAGUGUGACCGGCCACAUUGGGAUGGAGAUACGGCCCAGACUCAUACGGGAGGCAGCAGUGGGGAAUAUUGCAAAAUGGGCGGAAGCAUGAUGCAGCAACGCCGCGUGCGGGAUGACGGCCUUCGGGUUGGAAACCGCUUUCGCCUGUGACGAAGCGUGAGGGACGGUAAUGGGUAAAGAAGCACCGGCGAACUACUU